CGGUGAAAGAGCGUGUGUGCCAGACAGAUCGAUACAUACGUAUAGCGUAUAUCAUUAUCGUGCCAUUCCAAAUACGCAACAGUUGCUCAUUGACGUGAUAAAAAUAUAAGAAACAUAAAACAAUCAAAAAAUAAUUGAUUGAACAAAUGAACAAAUAAAUAAAUAA
rnacentral:lncRNA from 1 species